rnacentral:rRNA from 1 species
CCUACGGGUGGCAGCAGUGGGGAAUAUUGCACAAUGGGCGAAAGCCUGAUGCAGCAACGCCGCGUGAAGGAAGAAGGGUUUCGGCUCGUAAACUUCUAUCAACAGGGACGAAAGAAAUGACGGUCCCUGAAUAAGAAGCCCCGGCUAACUACGUGCCAGCAGCCGCGGUAAUACGUAGGGGGCAAGCGUUAUCCGGAAUUACUGGGUGUAAAGGGUGAGUAGGCGGCAUGGUAAGCCAGAUGUGAAAGCCUUGGGCUUAACCCGAGGAUUGCAUUUGGAACUGUUUGUCUUGAGUACCGGAGAGGUCAUCGGAAUUCCUUGUGUAGCGGUGAAAUGCGUAGAUAUAAGGAAGAACACCAGUGGCGAAGGCGGAUGACUGGACGGCAACUGACGGUGAGGCGCGAAAGCGUGGGGAGCAAACAGGAUUAGAUACCCCUGUAGUC